UCGCAAUCCGCUAAACGGUCAGGCCGUGUCGCGGAAGGUUGAGCAACCCGCUAUUUCUCGAGAAGCUCGAAGAAAGGUGAGCG
rfam:Burkholderia ubonensis strain MSMB782WGS MSMB782WGS_83, whole genome shotgun sequence.